rnacentral:rRNA from 1 species
GCGAGUGAAGCGGCAACAGCUCAAAUUUGAAAGCUGGCUUAGGCCCGCAUUGUAAUUUGCAGAGGAUGCUUCUGGCGAGGUGCCUUCCGAGUUCCCUGGAACGGGACGCCAUAGAGGGUGAGAGCCCCGUAUGGAUGGACACCAAACCUGUGUGAAGCUCCUUCAACGAGUCGAGUAGUUUGGGAAUGCUGCUCUAAAUGGGAGGUAAAUCUCUUCUAAAGCUAAAUACCGGCCAGAGACCGAUAGCGCACAAGUAGAGUGAUCGAAAGAUGAAAAGCACCUUGAAAAGGGGGUUAAACAGUACGUGAAAUUGUUGAAAGGGAAGCGCUUGUGACCAGACUUGCGCCGGGCAGCUCAUCAGGGGUUUUCCCCUGUGCACUCUGCCCGGCUCAGGCCAGCAUCGGUUCUUGUGGGAGGAUAAGAACGGUAGGAACGUGGCCCCCUUUCGGGGGGGUGUUAUAGCCUACCGUACGAUACUCCCGUGGGGACCGAGGUUCGCGCUCCGCAAGGAUGCUGGC